ensembl:lncRNA
CAGCAGAUCCUAAUCCAGCUGCACAAAGUCAUCUAUAUCACUCAGGCCCCAUCGCCACAGGAUCUCAAAGGAGGAGGCUCGUUCUGAAGCUGAGCCAGAAGGACGCCCUGCAAGCGCUCUUUCAACAGAACCUCUACCCUGGGAUUGUGACCAGAGAACGACUGGCUUAAGAGCUUAACAAUCCCGAAAGAAGAGUUCAGGUCUGGUUUCAAAACCAACAAAGAAGAUGGUUAAAGCCGAGCUGAUUGCCAUCUGAAUAUGUGCACCAAGAUGGGGAAGGGGGGCCAAUGUCCACGCCCAAGCAACGAUCACCACCUCCUUGACCUGUAUUCCUCUCAAGAAGACUUGGCCAGAGAGUCCCAGAGAAAGAGGACAGUCAUGUCUCAUUCUCAAACAAGGAUCCUUGUGCAACCUUUCACAAGGGAUCUCUUGCUGGGGACUGCCACCAGGGAAGAACUGGCUCGUCAGAUGGGAAUCCCAGAUCUUCAAACCCAGAUAAGUUCUCCACCUAACACAUGGAACCAGGACGUGGCCCAGGAGAAAGGAGCAUUCAGCCUUCCAAGUGUUGGAGCUACAUACACUUAGGCUUGGGCUUGGGCUUGGGCUUGGGCUUGGGAGGAGGGGGCCGAAAGUUCGUGGGCUGAGU